AGCCGUUUCUAAAAUGUCCAAAGAGACCCAAACCGUGCAGGCUAGCUCAUCCGCAGUGGAGAGCCACGCCGGUUCCUGCGACGCGGAGAUGCAGCUUCUCAACGACGCCGUGCGGUCAUUGCCUUACCCCGUCGUCAGGGACCUUUUGUCUAUCGGUGUAUGUUCGAGAUGCGUCCUUCGUUUAUUUGGUACCGAGGAGCAUAUUUAUUGUCGUUCCUCGUUUUCACAAUCGAUGCUUCGUUCAAUUCUUGAAGAAAUAGCUUGUUUUAAAUCCGAAGUCGAGUUUCAAUUCUGCACUGUUUGCUUAGGUAUAUUACAAUUCUGUUAUUGCGAUGACAAAGAAAUGGUGGUAAAAAAGGAGAGUGCGAAUGAUAUGGCUUUAAGCAUUGCGGAGUUAGUGAAGCAAGAAGGACAUCAAAUUGAUGGAUUUUCUCUUGAAGUUUCUUUACUACCACUUAUAUUGGAAAAUGAAUCCUCGCUUUUGUCACAUAUGAAAAAGAAGUAUGAAUCAGAGCCGUGGUUUCAAGAAAGGUUGCUCUCUAAAUGCGUUUCUGUUAAGGAUGUUCUGAAAUUUGCUAUAACAAAACCCCUUGAAACAUUGUUGGAUGCUAAAUCUAGUGCAAGCUCCUUUCGGAUCCGUUUGACUUACACACACAAAAGGGCAUCAAAAAGCUCUGUUGAGAGGAAUUGGGAAUGCAAAAGGCGAAAAACAGGCACUAGGUUGCACAAUGUAAAUGAUGAAUCAGUGGUUGCUGACAAAAAUUGUUCUCCUAUUGAAACAAAUGCUGUCACUGGAAGAUCUUCUAAUAGUUUGCAAGAUCAAGAACCUUCUGAACACUUUGGAUUCCCCAUAGAGAAGGUCAGUGAACCUUGCCACUUGGUAUACCUUUGCUACAGGACACAUAUUUACCUAUGUGGUCGAUAUCUGAAGUACUCAAGAAAUGUGAGCCAAACACGCUGGAUAAUUGAUGAGGAAAGGAUGGGAGAAGCAUCUGUUGAGGAGAUAAUAGGUAGCAACAUUCUUCCUAUGUGUCAAGGUGAUAAUUACAAGUUUCAUGCUGCUGGCAGAGAAGAUAUUGAUGUUCGGAUGUUAGGUUCAGGUAGGCCUUUUCUGCUUGAGAUACAAAAUGCACGCCAAGUCCCAUCAGAUGUGAUUGUUGAGGAAAUUGAAUCAAAGAUAAAUGGCUUGGAGAAUAAACUAGUUGGAAUUAAAAAUCUUAAAGUAGUAGGUAGUCAGGGUUGGACACUGAUACGUGAAGGAGAAGCUGAGAAGCAGAAGCAGUAUUGUGCCUUAGUGUGGAUUUCUCGCCCGCUUGAGGAUGAAGAUUUGAGAUCCAUAUCAUUGCUCAAUGACAUGAAAAUUCUGCAAAAAACCCCAAUACGGGUGCUUCAUCGUCGAAGUCCGUUGGAACGUGAAAAAAUUAUACAUUGGAUGAAGAUUGAGAGGAUUGCUGGAAGCUCUCAAUACUUUCUUUUACAUCUCUGCACCCAGAAUCAUGCCUUGGUACUGUUCUAUAUGGAAUAUAGGCUGGCACAUUUGUAGAAUAUUGCUGUUGGUUACUCCUGAAAUCUUAAACUGACUGAACUAUUCCAUGUGCAUUAUUCUGCAAUGGAGUCUUAUUAGACAAAGAUUCAAGCUAUGAUAUACUGAGUUAUAGUAAUGGUGUCUCUGAAGAAAGGCUGGUCAGAUUGGUUAGAGAGGAGACUAGCCUAGUAUGGGGAUGUCCUCUGCUAGUAUGGUGGGGAAUGUGUAAUACACUAAUAUCUUUGGAAUGCAGGCGGGAACUUAUAUCAAGGAAUUUGUUCACGGUGAUCUUGGGCGUACCCAACCUAGUAUUGGAUCAAUUCUAGGAUGCAGAGCAGAGAUAUUGCAGUUGGAUGUUACAGAC